UUUUCAAAGCCGUGCCGUGGUCAGUCACGUUUCACUGUGCGCACUGGAAGGUCGUGUUGUCGCGUGUGUUUUCUUCUAAAAAACAAAAAUUCACCGUUCUUUCGUCGUUCGUUCGUGUGUAAAUCCUUGAUUGUUUGUUUCUGCCGGCGGUGCAUCAUCGAUCGUCGUCCUUUUUUUUCGGUGUUGCUGCAAGGAAGAAGACACACACACACAAACGUAAAGUUUGAAAACAGAUAAAAAGAAGGAGGAAAAGGAAUACAAAGCCGUGGUGCCGCCGCGUGUGUAUACGUGUAUUUGUGUUGUUUUUUGAGCUACCGGAGAUUUUUGUGAAGGUUAUCAACACGCGCGGUCGGCCUCUCAAUCCCUCUCUCUCUCUCUCUCUCGCGCCAGCAUCCAAAACGUCAACAAACUUGCCAGACCGUCAUCAUCAUCAUUGAAGGGGUGAGAGUGUAUUGGUUUUGUUGUCGGAAGCUGUGUGUGACGACGAAGAAGCAGAAGAGCCCAUCCAAGUAGCCCGAAAACAAGUUUUUUUUUUCGCAAGUGCGUCGGCAAGGUAGUGUUGGUGCAAGUGCAUUUAUUAUCUCUUUCAUAAAAGGAAGCAAAACGGGUGCAAAAUAAAGGGUGCGAUUGUGUGAGUGUGAGUAAUUGAAAAAGGGUAAUUUUUACGCUAAAAUCACUGCAGGAGAUUUGCCUUGACCGCGUAAACAAAGGAGCUUGAGAUUGAGAGAAAGAACGGGAGAGAGUAACCGGAAGAACGUGACACCGAAACCUGAAAGGUGAGUCUACAUUUCCACGUGCCACCCCACCAAGGAUGAACGCAAAUUAACCCAAAACUAGAUCAACCCGCUUAAAUUUGCCGUUGCCUUCAGAGACAAGUGUCCAAACCUCGGCCGAGCCGUGCAUGCGGACCUUCUUGCAGUUGCACUAGAGCAGUGCAUCUAGAGUGGUAAGUUUGGAAUGA